rnacentral:rRNA from 1 species
CCCUAUGGGGUGGAGAUUCGGAAGGGGCAAUGCCUGCUUCCCAUGGGAGCCAUCCUCACGCCCACGCGCUGCGCGCUCCUCGCUGGACUGGGAAAAAGGACCGUCCUGGUGUAUCGUCGCCCGCGCGUGGCUCUCCUUGCUACGGGGGAUGAAGUGCGGGAAUUGGAGGAGCCCCCGGAGGGGCCUUUCACUGUCUGCAACAAUCGCUAUCUUCUGGAAUGGCUGGUCAUUUCCCAUGGAGGAGUCCCCCUGGUCCUGGGGUGCGUUGAAGAUCACCCCAGGCAUAUAGCCGAAAGACUGCGCGACGUGGACGCCAAUAUGGUGAUCACGACGGGAGGGAUGGGGCGUGGCGGGGGAGC